AUAUCAUCUGCGUCGAAUCCUCCGCCGUUCUCAUGCACUUUAAUCGGCACGCUUACAUAUUCAAACGGCCUCCCCUUAACAGCAGCAUCCAUGUUUCCAGCAUGCAAGAGGCGAAAACUCAAGAAAAAUUUCAGAACCCUAGCCUUGAAGAAAAUGGUGAGAGAAUUUGUGCAGCCAUUGAUUUGGAGGAUUUUAUUAGUGAUUAAUGGAGUAAAUUAGUGGUGAUUUUGUUAAUAAUUAGGGGUGAUUACAUUACAUUAGUGUUCUGAGUUGUGGAAAUGGGUAGAAGGGAAGGAUGCUCGAUUCAGAAGAAGU
rnacentral:pre_miRNA from 1 species